AUUGAACGCUGGCGGAAUGCUUUACACAUGCAAGUCGAACGGCAGCACGGGGGCAACCUUGGUGGCGAGUGGCGAACGGGUGAGUAACACAUCGGAACAUGCCCAGUCGUGGGGGAUAACGUAGCGAAAGUUACGCUAAUACCGCAUACGAUCUAAGGAUGAAAGCGGGGGACCGUAAGGCCUCGCGCGAUUGGAGUGGCCGAUGCCAGAUUAGGUAGGUGGUGGGGUAAAGGCUCACCAAGCAAACGAUCUGUAGCUGGUCUGAGAGGACGACAAGCGACACUGGGACUGAGACACGGCCCAGACUCCUACGGGAGGCAGCAGUGGGGAAUUUUGGACAAUGGGCGCAAGCCUGAUCCAGCCUUUCCGCGUGCAGGACGAAGGCCUUCGGGUUGUAAACUGCUUUUGUACGGAGCGAAAAGCCUUGGGUUAAUACCUCGGGGUCAUGACGGUACCGUAAGAAUAAGCACCGGCUAACUACGUGCCAGCCGCCGCGGUAA
rnacentral:rRNA from 1 species